rnacentral:lncRNA from 1 species
GACCGCUUUCAAAAACAAAAAAGAAACAUCAUCAGCAUAAAGAGCAUGUGAAGGAGCAACACAACCUCUGGUGGAUCAUCUGUUCCAAAAGAAUGAGACCCUAAUGCAAAACAACUUGGACGGAACAAAAUUAAACUAGUGACAGAUCUAGUUACAUAAAUAUAGAUAGAAUCCAGCGAGUAGCUCGCAUCGGUAUUGAUGUUUACGCUUGUGGAGCGUUAGGAUAUCUAUUGGAGGGAGCGAA